rnacentral:misc_RNA from 1 species
GAAUGAACUUGGCGUGGUUGUUGCUGGUCCUCUCGGGGGCAUGUGCACACCCGUCAUCUUUAUCUUUCCACCUGUGCACGUUUUGUAGGUCCAAAAAAUUUUUCCGAGGCAACUCGUUUUAGGGGACUGGCGUUCGUUACUGUCGCCUUUCCCUGGAUUUUAGGCCUAUGUUUUCACAUACACCAUAACAAUGUAAUAGAAUGUUAUUAAUGGGCUUUAUUGCCUAUAAACUAUAUACAACUUUCAGCAACGGAUCUCUUGGCUCU